UACGGAGGGUGCAAGCGUUAUCCGGAUUCACUGGGUUUAAAGGGUGCGUAGGAGGGCAGGUAAGUCAGUGGUGAAAUCUCCGAGCUUAACUUGGAAACUGCCGUUGAUACUAUCUGUCUUGAAUAUUGUGGAGGUGAGCGGAAUAUGCCAUGUAGCGGUGAAAUGCUUAGAUAUGACAUAGAACACCAAUUGCGAAGGCAGCUCGCUACACAUAUAUUGACUCUGAGGCACGAAAGCGUGGGGAUCAAACAGG
rnacentral:rRNA from 1 species